rnacentral:rRNA from 1 species
AUUGAACGCUGGCGGCAGGCCUAACACAUGCAAGUCGAGCGGAUGACGGGAGCUUGCUCCUUGAUUCAGCGGCGGACGGGUGAGUAAUGCCUAGGAAUCUGCCUGGUAGUGGGGGACAACGUUUCGAAAGGAACGCUAAUACCGCAUACGUCCUACGGGAGAAAGCAGGGGACCUUCGGGCCUUGCGCUAUCAGAUGAGCCUAGGUCGGAUUAGCUAGAUGGUGAGGUAAUGGCUCACCAAGGCAACGAUCCGUAACUGGUCUGAGAGGAUGAUCAGUCACACUGGAACUGAGACACGGUCCAGACUCCUACGGGAGGCAGCAGUGGGGAAUAUUGGACAAUGGGCGAAAGCCUGAUCCAGCCAUGCCGCGUGUGUGAAGAAGGUCUUCGGAUUGUAAAGCACUUUAAGUUGGGAGGAAGGGCAGUAAGCUAAUACCUUGCUGUUUUGACGUUACCGACAGAAUAAGCACCGGCUAACUCUGUGCCAGCCGCCGCCGUAAGAC